rnacentral:rRNA from 1 species
UGGGGAAUCUUAGACAAUGGGGGCAACCCUGAUCUAGCCAUGCCGCGUGAGUGAUGAAGGCCUUAGGGUUGUAAAGCUCUUUCAGCUGUGAAGAUAAUGACGGUAGCAGCAGAAGAAGUCCCGGCUAACUCCGUGCCAGCAGCCGCGGUAAUACGGAGGGGACUAGCGUUGUUCGGAAUUACUGGGCGUAAAGCGCACGUAGGCGGAUCGGAAAGUUGGGGGUGAAAUCCCGGGGCUCAACCCCGGAACUGCCUUCAAAACUAUCGGUCUGGAGUUCGAGAGAGGUGAGUGGAAUUCCGAGUGUAGAGGUGAAAUUCGUAGAUAUUCGGAGGAACACCAGUGGCGAAGGCGGCUCACUGGCUCGAUACUGACGCUGAGGUGCGAAAGCGUGGGGAGCAAACAG